rnacentral:lncRNA from 1 species
UACAAUUGUAAAAUAGGUAUUGUGAUUAAAUUUUAGAGAAAAUUAUUAUACAAAUUCAUAGCACAAAUUAGUAGCUGUUCACUCAUAUGCUGAGAUGACUCCAACUUCUCAACCACCUUAUAGAAGUCUUUUGGCUUCUGAUUACAUUGCCAUUUGCACAUACGUGGGUAGACGUUGUCCUUCGAAGCAAAGGGAGCAACUAUUUUUUGGAAGGUCGAAAUUGUCUCUAUUUCCCAUAACUACAAGUCAAAUGUAGCCAUAAUCAGACCAUAAAUGACAAACGAGUGCAA